CCGUCACCGGCGGCUCAUGACAGGCGGGGAGGGGGAAGGAAGAAGUGGAAGCCGCGGAUCCAUCUUCAAGAGAAAAUAGGAAAGAGACCGCGUUUCCAACAGUUUUACUUCGUUUUUUUAGCGGCAUCUUUCCUUGUAAAUACGUGUCAGGGAGCCCGAGGUGGGGGCUGUGUCAUUGUCUGUAGGAUGUCCCGACAUGAAGGUGUGAGCUGUGACGCGUGUUUAAAAGGGAACUUCAGGGGGCGCCGAUACAAGUGUUUAAUUUGCUACGACUACGACCUGUGCGCGUCGUGUUACGAAAGUGGAGCCACCACAACCCGACACACCACGGAACACCCCAUGCAGUGCAUACUAACCAGGGUAGACUUCGAUCUGUAUUAUGGCGGAGAAGCGUUUUCAGUAGAGCAGCCCCAGUCGUUCACUUGUCCAUACUGCGGCAAAAUGGGUUACACAGAAACGUCUCUACAGGAACACGUCACCUCGGAGCAUGCAGAGACUACCACAGAGGUGAUCUGCCCCAUAUGUGCAGCUUUGCCUGGAGGCGACCCCAAUCAUGUGACGGACGACUUCGCUGCUCAUCUCACACUUGAACACAGAGCACCAAGAGAUUUAGAUGAGAGCAGCGGGGUGCGGCACGUGCGCCGGAUGUUUCACCCUGGGCGUGGGCUGGGAGGCCCUCGGGCACGGAGGACUAACAUGCACUUUACCAGCAGCUCCACCGGGGGGCUCUCAUCCUCACAAAGCUCCUCUUACUCCCCGAGCAAUCGGGAAGCUAUGGACCCUAUAGCAGAGCUGCUGUCUCAGCUGUCAGGCGUUCGGCGCUCUGCAGGCGGCCAGCUGAACCCUUCGGGCCCGUCGGCCUCGCAACUACAGCAGUUGCAGAUGCAGUUGCAGCUGGAGCGGCAGCAGGCGCAGGCGGCACGUCAGCAACUGGAAACGGCACGCAACGCCACGCGCCAGCGCAGCAACGCGAGCAACAUCAGCGCCAGCGUGCCGCCGCCCAGCACCGCGACAAACACAGCCAUAACCGAGAGCAACCCGAUGGCCUCCCACAGCUCCCAGUUCCUCCUCACACGGUUGAACGAGCCGAAGAUGUCUGAGGCAGAGCGUCAGGCUCUGGAGAGCGAGCGCGCCGACCGGAGCCUGUUUGUGCAGGAGCUGCUGCUGUCCACGCUGAUGCGCGAGGAGAGCUCUUCUUCCGACGAGGAUGAGCGGCGAGACUUCGCCGACUUCGGCGCCAUGGGCUGCGUGGAGAUCAUGCCUUUGGACGUGGCGCUGGAGAGCCUGAACCUGAAGGAGAGCUCUGCAGGCAAAGAGCCUCCACCUCCUCCUCUUUGAUGAUAUCCCACCACCACGCAGACAAUGUCCUCUGUGCUGUAACUGCCAAUGACGCACCUGCUGCUCCCUGAACGAAUCCUCUGAGCCGGAGUGCAGAUAGACGAUCACUUUUACUUUUAUAUAUAUAUAUAUAUAUAUAUAUAUAUAUAUAUAUAUAUAUAUAUAUAUAUAUAUAUAUAUAUAUAUAUAUAUAUAUAUAAAUAAAUAUAAAUGUCCCCGGCCGAUUAAAAUCACUGUACACAGGAGGAAUCUGCGCCUGCAUCAGCAUUCCUACUCACAAAGCUCAAAAAAUAAAUUCUUUCUUCAGUUGGUGAAAGAGUGCUGGAGACUUUGCCACAUAGUUUUUGUUCUACAUUAUUAAAAAAAAAAAAAAAAGGAAAGAAUGAAUCUCGUUUUUUUGUUUUUUUUUCCCCCGUUGUGCUAAAAAUGAAAUGGGGAAAAAAAAAGAAGGCACCUUCUAUUUAUUCAGGUUUUAUUUUGUUUUGGAUUCUUUUUUAUUUUUAUUUUUCUCUUUUUUUUUUUUCUCUUUUUAAGCCUUGUGAUUGAGUCAUGCCACCUCCAUGCCUAUACUUUUAGCCUCAAUGUAAAAUACAAUGAGAUGUAUAUUGAAUUUGUGCGUUAACUUUCAUAAUGGUUCUAGGACAUGGGCAGACUUUCUUUUUUUAAAUGUAAAUUUAGAAUACUACAAUAAAAAACGGCGCACAGCUUUUGAUGAAAAUAAAA